UUAGAGUUUGAUCCUGGCUCAGGAUGAACGCUAGCGGCAGGCUUAACACAUGCAAGUCGAGGGGCAGCGAGAUCAGUGCUUGCACUGACUGUCGGCGACCGGCGCACGGGUGCGUAACGCGUAUGCAACCUACCCAUUACAGGGGGAUAACACUGAGAAAUCGGUACUAAUACCCCAUAACAUCCAGGGAGGCAUCUUCUUGGGUUGAAAACUCCGGUGGUAAUGGAUGGGCAUGCGUUGUAUUAGUUAGUUGGUGGGGUAACGGCUCACCAAGACAACGAUACAUAGGGGGACUGAGAGGUUAACCCCCCACAUUGGUACUGAGACACGGACCAAACUCCUACGGGAGGCAGCAGUGAGGAAUAUUGGUCAAUGGACGCAAGUCUGAACCAGCCAUGCCGCGUGCAGGAAGACGGCUCUAUGAGUUGUAAACUGCUUUUGUACGAGGGUAAACGCAGAUACGCGUAUCUGUCUGAAAGUAUCGUACGAAUAAGGAUCGGCUAACCCCGUGCCAGCAGCCGCGGUAAUACGGAGGAUUCAAGCGUUAUCCGGAUUUAUUGGGUUUAAAGGGUGCGUAGGCGGUCGGAUAAGUUAGAGGUGAAAUCCCGGGGCUCAACUUCGGAAUUGCCUCUGAUACUGUUCGGCUAGAGAGUAGUUGCGGUAGGCGGAAUGUAUGGUGUAGCGGUGAAAUGCUUAGAGAUCAUACAGAACACCGAUUGCGAAGGCAGCUUACCAAGCUACUUCUGACGUUGAGGCACGAAAGCGUGGGGAGCAAACAGGAUUAGAUACCCUGGUAGUCCACGCAGUA
rnacentral:rRNA from 1 species